GGAGUGGUAUGCAGGCCCCCAGCCCCUCCCCUCUCCUCUCUGGGGACAUCUCUGCUCUCUGCUGCACUUCCAGGAAGCCUAGUUAGCUCCCCUCCCCAUUCCAGCCCUAAUUUGAUUUGAUCUCCAUCUGGGGGCUGAUGCAGGCUCUGUCCACCUUCCAGCCAGUGUCAGGUUUCUCGUGGCCACAGGGCCUGGGCACACCCGGAGCACAGGACCCAGGAGCCAAUGCACCCAGUUGCAACAGAGUCUCAUUUAGUUAAAAAUGAAGCGUGAGGUGCCUGGUGGCUCGACUCUUGAUUUUGGCUCAGGUCAUGAUUCCAGGGUUGUGGGGUUGAGUUCCGUCAGCGGGGAGCAUGGAGCCUGCUUAAAAUUCUGUCUUUCAUCCUCUGCCCCUCCCCCACCCGCUCACGCUUCCUCUCUAAAAUAAAAAAAUAAAACCUAACUACUAAAAUGAA